rnacentral:rRNA from 1 species
AGAGUUUGAUCAUGGCUCAGGACGAACGCUGGCGGCGUGCCUAACACAUGCAAGUCGAACGGAACUGUUUUGAAAGAUUUCUUCGGAAUGAAUUUGUAUUUAGUUUAGUGGCGGACGGGUGAGUAACGCGUGAGUAACCUGCCUUCAAGGAGGGGGAUAACAUUCUAGAAAAGAAUGCUAAUACCGCAUGACAUAUCGGAACCACA